AAACAACGAUGAUAAUAUACAGAUAUCAUCCGCCAGGGGACUACGAGCAUUAGCUUAAAACCCAAAGGACUUGGCGGUGCCUCAAACCCACCUAGAGGAGCCUGUUCUAUAACCGAUAACCCCCGUUCAACCUCACCACUCCUUGUCAUCCCAGCCUAUAUACCGCCGUCGCCAGCUUACCUCGUGAGAGUAUAAUAGUAAGCCAAAUGGGCCCCGCCCAAAACGUCAGGUCGAGGUGUAGCAAAUGAAGUGGGAAGAAAUGGGCUACAUUUUCUAACCCAGAAUACUACGAAAAGUGCCAUGAAACAAGCACAACUGAAGGUGGAUUUAGCAGUAAAAAGAAAACAGAGAGUUCU
rnacentral:rRNA from 1 species